rnacentral:rRNA from 1 species
AGCGGCAGGCUUAACACAUGCAAGUCGAGGGGCAUCAUGAGUAGCAAUACUUGAUGGCGACCGGCGCAAGGGUGCGUAACACGUGAGUAACAUGCCCUGUACAGGAGGAUAACAUACGGAAACGUGUACUAAUACUCCAUGGUUUCAAUAUAAGGCAUCUUAUAAUGAAUAAAACUUCGGUGAUACAGGAUUGGCUCGCGGGACAUUAGUUAGAUGGUAGGGUAACGGCCUACCAUGACGAUGAUGUCUAGGGGUUCUGAGAGGAAGAUCCCCCACACUGGGACUGAGACACGGCCCAGACUCCUACGGGAGGCAGCAGUGAGGAAUAUUGGACAAUGGAUGGAAAUCUGAUCCAGCCAUGCCGCGUGCGGGAAGGCGGCCCUAUGGGUUGUAAACCGCUUUUGCAAGGGAGCAAUAAGGUGUACGAGUACACCGAUGAGAGUACCUUGGGAAUAAGCAUCGGCUAACUCCGUGCCAGCAGCCGCGGUAAUACGGAGGAUGCGAGCGUUAUCCGGAUUUAUUGGGUUUAAAGGGUGCGUAGGUGGCAGAUUAAGUCAGUGGUGAAAGGUGGCCGCUCAACGGUCAAAGUGCCAUUGAUACUGGUUAGCUAGAAUGCGGUUGCUGUGGGCGGAAUGUGUGGUGUAGCGGUGAAAUGCAUAGAGAUCACACAGAACACCGAUUGCGAAGGCAGCUCACAAAGCCGUGAUUGACACUGAGGCACGAAAGCGUGGGGAUCAAACAGGAUUAGAUACCCUGGUAGUCCACGCAGUAAACGAUGAUAACUCGCUGCCAGCGAUAGACAGUUGGUGGCUAAGCGAAAGCGAUAAGUUAUCCACCUGGGGAGUACGACCGCAAGGUUGAAACUCAAAGGAAUUGACGGGGGCCCGCACAAGCGGAGGAACAUGUGGUUUAAUUCGAUGAUACGCGAGGAACCUUACCCGGGCUCGAACGGUACAUGAAGGAUACAGAGAUGUAAACGCCGCAAGGCAUGUAUCGAGGUGCUGCAUGGUUGUCGUCAGCUCGUGCCGUGAGGUGUCGGCUUAAGUGCCAUAACGAGCGCAACCCUUGUCGUCAGUUACCAGCGGAUAAAGCCGGGGACUUUGGCAAGACUGCCACCGUAAGGUGAGAGGAAGGGGGGGAUGACGUCAAAUCAGCACGGCCCUUACGUCCGGGGCGACACACGUGUUACAAUGGUCGGUACAGAGGGGAGCGAUAUGGUGACAUAGAGCAAAUCUCGAAAGCCGGUCUCAGUUCGGAUUGGAGUCUGCAACUCGACUCCAUGAAGUUGGAUUCGCUAGCAAUCGCGAAUCAGCCAUGGCGCGGUGAAUACGUUCCCGGG